rnacentral:rRNA from 1 species
GAUGAACGCUGGCGGCGUGCCUAAUACAUGCAAGUCGAGCGAACAGAUCCGGCGCUCGCUCCUCUGACGUUAGCGGCGGACGGGUGAGUAACACGUGGGUAACCCUCCUCUAAGACUGGAAUCACUCCGGGAAACCGUAGCUAAUGCCGGAUAACAUGUUGAACCGCAUGGUUCUACAGUGAAAGGCGGCUUUGCUGUCACUUAUAGAUGGACCCGCGCCGUAUUAGCUAGUUGGUGGGGUAACGGCUCACCAUGGCAACGAUGCGUAGCCGACCUGGGAGGGGGUUGCGGCCCACUGGAAGUGGGCGACGGUCCAGACUCCUACGGGCGGCAGCAGUAGGGAAUGUGGGGAAAUGGGCGGAAGCCUGACGGAGCAGCGCCGGGUGGGUGGUGAGGGUCUUCGGAUCGUAAGACUCUGUUAUUGGGGAAGAACAAAUGCGUAAGUAACUGUGCGCGUCGUGACGGUACCUAGUCAGAAAGCAACGGCUAACUACGUG